rnacentral:lncRNA from 1 species
UCCUUAGUAGUGGGCGUUGGAACAUCCAGCAGCUACAAGCGCUUCUCCCUGAUCACCUGUUGAAGGAAGUGGUAGGAAUGACCCCUCCAAGCCUUGACGAUGGAGCUGACAUACCGAUUGGGAGAUUAGAGGAUAAUGGAAAAUCUUCGGUGCGCUCCGGAAAUUCUUGUGGACGGCGGUGGGUGGUAGGCUGCUCACGGGGGAGGAGAGGCGACGCCGCCAUAUCUCUGACAACGACAGCUGCUGCCGCUGCCGCUACCUGGGGAUUGGAGAGUCUACG